CCACCAUCGACAACAAAUAUCACUACCAACCAUUAUUGUCAACUGCUACCACACUUACUAUCUCUAUUAUUCUAAUUAUAUUCGCCGCCACCAUCGUCGUCAACACCACCACCAUCACAACCACUAACGACCAACCCCUACUACCGACCAACUUAUCUAUCACAACUAGCACCACCGCUAACUACCACUAAUACAUUACAACCUCCACACAUUCUUCGGCCGCCACUACCAUUGUCACUAGUAACACCACCUCUACCACCAC
rnacentral:lncRNA from 1 species